rnacentral:rRNA from 1 species
CCUACGGGUGGCUGCAGUGGGGAAUAUUGGACAAUGGGCGAAAGCCUGAUCCAGCCAUGCCGCGUGUGUGAAGAAGGCCUUCGGGUUGUAAAGCACUUUCAGUGGGGAAGAAAGCCUUGGGGCUAAUACCCUCGAGGAAGGACAUCACCCACAGAAGAAGCACCGGCUAACUCCGUGCCAGCAGCCGCGGUAAUACGGAGGGUGCGAGCGUUAAUCGGAAUUACUGGGCGUAAAGCGCGCGUAGGCGGUCUGAUAAGCCGGUUGUGAAAGCCCCGGGCUCAACCUGGGAACGGCAUCCGGAACUGUCAGGCUAGAGUGCAGGAGAGGAAGGUAGAAUUCCCGGUGUAGCGGUGAAAUGCGUAGAGAUCGGGAGGAAUACCAGUGGCGAAGGCGGCCUUCUGGACUGACACUGACGCUGAGGUGCGAAAGCGUGGGUAACAAACAGGAUUAGAUACCCGUGUAGUC